GUAGGUGGCAAGCGUUGUCCGGGAAUUAUUGGGCGUAAAGCGCGCGCAGGGCGGUCCUUUAAGUCUGAUGUGAAAAGCCCACGGCUCAACCGUGGAGGGUCAUUGGAAACUGGGGGACUUGAGUACAGAAGAGGAAAGCGGAAUUCCAAGUGUAGCGGUGAAAUGCGUAGAGAUUUGGAGGAACACCAGUGGCGAAGGCGGCUUUCUGGUCUGUAACUGACGCUGAGGCGCGAAAGCGUGGGGAGCAAACAGGAUUAGAUACCCUGGUAGUCCACGCCGUAAACGAUGAGUGCUAAGUGUUAGGGGGUUUCCGCCCCUUAGUGCUGCAGCUAACGCAUUAAGCACCCCGCCUGGGGAGUACGGCCGCAAAGGCUG
rnacentral:rRNA from 1 species